CGAUGGUGGUGGUGGUGGAGGUGGUGGCAGAGGGAGAGCAGGCGGGGAGACUUCAUUCCAUAGUUGGCGCCUGUCACGUUGCCCGGUCGGAGUCAUCUCAUUGAAAACCUAGACGUGUCUGGGCUGGCUGGUGAAGGACACGCAGCGGCAGCGGUUGGCAAUGACAGACUCGGAGCAGUACAUCCUCCAGGACUGGGUCAUGAGGGAACUGUUCAAGGGGAGCCUCAAGGAGAUGGCCACCCACCCAUACCAGCCUAGCAGAGCAUUAUCACUGACGGACACAACUUAUUCUGCAGGAAGAGAGUAGCUGUGAGGAGCUGUAAAGCAGGCCAGAGAAUGCAAGAUGCAUUAUUUUAAGUGUGUGCCAAGGUGACACCAUCCUCCACCGUCCCACCUGUCGCCUCCACCACACCGGGGAACAUCACCUGCAACACCGUCUCUCAAGCUUCUGUGAGUCCACUCCAGCCCUCCCCCUCCCCCCAGCAGCCUGGAGUUCAUCCCAGCCUCACCUGACAGCUAUCAGUCAUCAUCUGCUGCCUU